UUACAGACCAGUUUGAGGCACCAGCUGCGCGGCCGGGUGGUUUGCUUGAGGCAGAAGAAGACGGUGGGCGCCAGUGCCGGCCUUCUCGGUCUAAUCUACACAUCGUUAUAAGAAAAAGUAGGCCAAAUUCCUCCCUCAUUUACUCUGGAUAUACUCCCCGUGACAUCCUGGACUACACCGAGGUUACUCUGGAGUUGCAUCAGAGGCACUGCCUGCAGAAUCUGGCCUGCCAGUGGAGGUUAGCGAUCGAUACUGAAUCUAGGCUACACAAGUAUAAAAUGAAUGGGCACUUGGCUUGCAAUAUCAUAGCUGAACUAAUGAGAUGUGUAAUGCUCUUAGCCGGCCUUAAUAAAUCGGCACACGUCAGCAUCACUCGGGUGAAUUUCAGGCUGCGUGCAACGCGCUGGGAGGCUGGAAGACAUGUACACUACCACCAGCAGGAAGGCAUCCAUGCGAAAGUAGUAUUAUAGGAAGAGAAAAUGUCAGCCGAUUCUGUCCUUGCUGGUGUCUGAGAUGCAUGAAUGUCAAGAAGAUAGUGACACCCGGCUCCACCAUGUGGAAAAUAAGCCAUCUCCAGAAAACAAAGCAGUCAGCACUUGAUACAGUUAUCAGCCAAAAAAAGACUUGGGGCUAGCAGUUUUGACCAUGGAGCUCUGUUAAGGUCAGUGGUAGUAUGCAGAUUUGUCACUGCUGAUUUUCCAGCCUUCUCUUCCUAUAUUAGCACCCUGCAUGUGGGUUAAGGACAUUUAACUUCACCUCUUGCAAUACGCUUUAAUGACUUGGAUUGAAAUAGCUUGCCCAGUGCUAUAUUUUUUUCUUUUUAAAGACACAGGGGAACCGUACAACAGGACUGUCGGUUGGCUCUAGUGUUUCAUUCUCCUACUCUGAAUGUAUACAGUGCCUUGCAUCCCACGGUAUUGCACCUCCCAUUGACCCUGCAGAUUUUUUAAGGAAUAAGAAGUUACUCCCAUUUUGCAGAUUGCUAAACUAAGUGACAGAAGGCUGGUGGCUGCUUGGAACAGUGUUAGUUUAAAAUAGGACUGAUUCAAAAGGAGUUACGCUGCUGUAACUCAGCCAGGCACGGAGGGAUGAAAAUGGACUUCUUCAAAGUUAUGUGCUGGCGUGGAUGGUGCCUGUGCGUGACUUCUUUUACUGUGGAGAAGCUGCUGCACAUCGGUUUCCACGUGGCCUUUGACGGGACAGGACCUUGAUCCAACGGCAAGGAGAUCUCGUUCUGCUGCAGCCUUCAUCUGCCUUCGCAGCCGUUGAGAUUUUAACUUCUUCCUCCUCCUGCUCUGCCACUGCAGACCCAUAUGUGGGUGACUGGCGCCUCUUGAGUCUGGGGGGACACCAGAGCGCCGGCCAGGGGGGUGGUCUUCCAGCAGCCGAUUGCCGACCGGGGCGGGUGUCCCACAGUGGCCAAUCGCCGAGCCAGCGGCGAAACUAGAAGUGCACUUCUGGUUUCAUGGUGGCACUUCCAGGGGGUGCACAGCCCAUCUCAAGGGGUGCACAUGCACCCAAAGGCACUCACCAAUGGACCCGUAGCCAGGCAGGCUUAUUAUAGUGGCGACCUGUACUUGCCACAUCACAGCGCCGUCAAAGGAUAUGCGUGGCUGUUCAGGAGGGAAACCAUUGCCAUCUGCUGUCCUCACCACAUCCUUCUUCAAAGUGAUGCACAAGUUGGGAAGGGAGCCAGGCACCUUGACCCUCAGUCUCUUGCUCCCAGUACACCCCCAUCUGUCUUCUACUUUCUAGAGCAAUUAAAAAAAAAAAGGCUUUUCUUAUAUCUAUCGAAUGCGCUGGGUUUGCAGUCUAAUGCAGAUUGUUCUGUUAGGUGAAUCCCAGAUAAUAAGCCAUGCAGCGUUUGAGUUUCAUGUCUUAUUUUUGCAAUGUACAUGAUUAACCGAUUCUUCUAGCAAGGGGCAGCUGGAAGAAAAAAAGUCCAACAUAAAAAAAAAAUCCUUAGACCAGCAUGGCUACAACCAACACCCCAUUAAACAAAAUCUGCAUGUGAAGGGGGUUGAUACUACAAUGUUCCUGAGGCUAAGAUGAGAUCAUUAGGUCAUUCCCAGAGUUGGAAAGCUUCUGUAUAUUUGUAUGCCUUUGAAGCUGGCUUUAUAUAUAUGUAUAUACAAAGUCUGAUAGAAGGUGCUGAAUACUUUAUGGAUUUUUUUUUUUACUGGAUCUAAUUCUAGCUGACUCAAAUCUGGGGUUUUUUGAUUGCAAAAAAACCUUCAAACAAGGAACAAUCUAGCUAAUAGCGCUCGCAUAAAUCAUUCUCAAAAUAAUGAGUAUCUGUGGAGUGAAUUCAUUUAGCUAAAUAGAUGGAGGACCACUUUAAAGUUAUUUAGAAAGAUUAACAAAAGAGAAGGGAAAUGAAAAACAGAUAAUAAAUUGACGAGAGAAGGGAAAAUUAUAUUAGAAACAAUGAAUUUGUAAUAAAUUCAAAACGUUAAGAAGAGUUUUUCAAAAAAAAAAAAAAGGGAAAAAAAAAGGAGAUUGGCAACAUGAUAACUUGGCAGCCCUGCUGCUAAAGUGUAUUUUUAAUUAAGUGACACAGGAUGCUGGGAUGCAUUUUAAAAUAGACACAUAGGUCCCUUGCAGAAAUAACGCCUUUACUUUUAUGACAUUCAUGUCUCAAAUUCUCCGAUAGUCUUGUCAUUUCCUCCGUACAAGAAAACAGUUAUCUGCUCGGGGAGAUUUCUUCAUUAAGCGCAUGGGCUCUGCCUUCAUAAACAACUCGGUGAUCACUUCCGCGAGCUAAAUUACACGCCACUCGGGGAAUAAGAGGAACAUUGCUUCUCCUAUCAUAAUCCAUGCAAACCUCCUCCAGAUCGGAGGGGCGGGAUUAGGAUCUUUUCUAUAGUGCUCUGACCGGGUUUGGCAAAUGGUGGAGAGCUAAGAGUAUAGCCCCUCCUAAAGCAAACUGACUUUCUCCCUCUUUGAGGCACUAGCGCAGAAGAGUGAGCAGUAAAUUGAAACUCGUGUAACAGUGGUUUGCAAGGAGCCCGUCUCACUGCAGCUCCCCGCUCGCCUGGGCCCAAUCAUUAGCGGGCGAAUCUGCUUCUGAAGGACUCCGAGGCCCUGACCUCUAGCCUCUUUGAAGGAUUUCAUCCUAGUUCAGCUUCAAAUGUUUGAUUGGGAGGGCAUCAUUCAGUUCCUGGCCCAAUUAACUUAGCGGCUCGCUCAAAGGUCCCCUUUGAGCACGGCUCCUUCAGCAUAGGCCCAGCAUUUGGGAUACAGAGGAUGUCACGCUAAUGUUGUCACCGGCUUGCCCGUCCUCUUUACACGGGCAGAUUAGGGGAUAUAGCCCAGAGGAGUGUGCCCCAUCCAGGACUCCCGGUGACUUCAGCAUGAGUUAUGUCAGGCCUGGGCGCCUGCAAGCCUGGAGGCAGAAGCAAAUGAACCGGCUUUUUCCUCUGGAGUCUCUUGCCCCUUUCCUCCCAACUUUCCAUCCCUUCUCUCUCUCUCUGUUCCCUUCCUCCAUUUUCCCCUCCACAAUCUUUUCUUGCCCUUUCCCCUCUUAUUUCAGUAUAAUUUUCUGUCCCUAUGCCCCUCCUUCCCGCUGCUCCUUCAGCUUUCUAUUUAAAGUCUCGCAGCCACAAGGUGCCUGCUGCUCCUCUAAACGUCCUGCUGAGAAGCUCUGCAAAUGUAUUGGGUUGUCCCGAUGCUCUGUUGGUAUCUCGUAGUCAUAAUAACAGCUCUCUAUCUGCAGUCCAUUGGUAGCAGUAGACACCCGCUGCCUUUCCUGGCUUAGAGCAUUUUCAUGAGUAAUUUUUUCCACCCCACUAUGUUUCAGACUAGUUUCAAUGCCCUUAUGGAGCAACCUUUAGAUUUUCAGACACUUGAUACUGCAGGGACUGGUGGUGAAGCUGGCUUUGAGACCCUAUGUGUGGACACGGGGCCUGCACAAAAAAUGCCGGCACCUUAAUUCCUAGCUAGUCUGUACAUGAUUGAACAUAUGCGAUGCAGUAGUGUAACAGUGAUAUUAUAGCCCAGAAAAUAGGUGAGACGCAAGGAUGCUGUAGGCUGAUGUCCUUUAUUGGACUCGCUGUAUAGUUGGGAUAAAGUUAGGUAAGCUUUCGAAUGCAGUGUGGUGCCUUCAAAAGCUUGUCUAACUUUAUCUCAGCUACAUAGUUUGUCCCAUAAAAGAUAUCACCCUAAGAAAUCCUUUCCUCUCAACAAGACCUCAGGCAUAAGAAAUUCGGAGAGGAGUUUAUAUCACUAUUUAAGCUUCCUAGCCUAUGGAUGGAUUUCAUUUUUCAGUGAGCGUUUCUACGUGUGCAUUUAUGCUGACUUAAAUUUCCCAUACAGUAAGUUACUAUGCAGUAAGUGGGAAUAGGCCGGCAUCUACACCUGCAGGCGUUAAACCACAUUAACACUGCAUGUGGUCUGAGUUGGGACUAAAGUAAGUCCCAAGUUAGUCCACACACACAGUGUUACUGCACAGCAAGGCAUCUACAUGUGCCUUACUGCGCAGUAACUAAUCAGGCGUAAAUCUGAGAUCUGCAUGAUGCAGAUAUCAAAUUUAUGCUCCAGUCGGCAUAAGUUGCCAUAUUUACUAUGCAGGAUGGACAUGCAUGUGUAGACGUGUGCCCAUAUUGUGCAGUAAUUUUGCUUAAUGUGCAAUAAUGCUUGGAUGCUUAACUUGCUGGUGUGAUCUGACCCCAGCUGGGGGUGCCGGGGUGAUCUGACCCUUUGGGCAGGGGGCUGGACCCGAUGAUCUUGCAAGGCCCCUUCCAGCCGUAAUGUCUAUAUCUAUAAAUGUGUAUGUGUAGAUGCACCCAGUCACUGGCAUUUUACAGCCACAUUCAGAGGCCUUUCUUCAAGACCACAAUCCACCCGUAACAGAAAGGAUGUGUUUGCCUUCUUCUCAUUUGAAAGUGUAACAUUUGAAAUGUGUCAGUUUGAGCACGUGUAUUUCAAGCCCACAAGUUCGGGACGGGCCUCGCUUUCCUCCUCCUCCUUGCUUUUAUGAUUUAUUUACUUCUCAUAUCAUGUUUAGACUUGCUAAAUAUAAAAACUGUCCAAAAUAAAUGGUAAAAAUAUUCAAGCCUUUGGGGGAAAAUAUAUUUCUCAGCUCCGCGUUCUCAUGCUUUAUGGUUUUAGCACAUACUGUAAAUAAAUAUUUCUGCAAUAAAUAUUUGUUAAAAAUAAUUUCCGUAUGCAUUUAGCAUUCCCCAAUAAAUACUACGUAAAGAGUG